UGUGCUCAAAAUACUUCACAUCAAAAUAGAACCCAAUCUCAUACUAAAGCCUAAGAUAAAGAUAACAAAAGAAAAAUGGAUUUCAAAAGGAGGAGUAUUAAGAAUCUUAGUUUAUAAUGUAUUGGAAAAAUAAGAUUAUAGAGAAGUUAUAUGAAAUGAAAAUCAAGAUUUUAAAAUAUGCUUAAAAAUAUAUUGAAAAAUAUAAUAGUAAUGUCACUCUCAAAUUAAAACAAUAUAAAACCACUAUUAAAAAAAUAAAAAUAAAAAAUAAACGCAAUAACCCAUCAAUCAAAUGCCAACUCUAAAAAGAAAGGAAGAAGACCGAAACAAAAGGAAUUGCAACAAAGAAAGCAAUAGAGUAAGGGAUGCACAAAAGUGUAUAUAUUCACCUGUUAUUAAUAAAGAAAGGAAUAGAAUCAGGGAUUGUAAGAAGUUAGAGUACCACAAAUCUAAAUGGGAGC